rnacentral:rRNA from 1 species
GAUGAACGCUGGCGGCGUGCCUAAUACAUGCAAGUCGAGCGAACGGACGAGAAGCUUGCUUCUCUGAUGUUAGCGGCGGACGGGUGAGUAACACGUGGAUAACCUACCUAUAAGACUGGGAUAACUUCGGGAAACCGUAGCUAAUACCGGAUAAUAUUUUGAACCGCAUGGUUCAAAAGUGAAAGACGGUCUUGCUGUCACUUAUAGAUGGAUCCGCGCUGCAUUAGCUAGUUGGUAAGGUAACGGCUUACCAAGGCAACGAUGCAUAGCCGACCUGAGAGGGUGAUCGGCCACACUGGAACUGAGACACGGUCCAGACUCCUACGGGAGGCAGCAGUAGGGAAUCUUCCGCAAUGGGCGAAAGCCUGACGGAGCAACGCCGCGUGAGUGAUGAAGGUCUUCGGAUCGUAAAACUCUGUUAUUAGGGAAGAACAUAUGUGUAAGUAACUGUGCACAUCUUGACGGUACCUAAUCAGAAAGCCACGGCUAACUACGUGCCAGCAGCCGCGGUAAUACGUAGGUGGCAAGCGUUAUCCGGAAUUAUUGGGCGUAAAGCGCGCGUAGGCGGUUUUUUAAGUCUGAUGUGAAAGCCCACGGCUCAACCGUGGAGGGUCAUUGGAAACUGGAAAACUUGAGUGCAGAAGAGGAAAGUGGAAUUCCAUGUGUAGCGGUGAAAUGCGCAGAGAUAUGGAGGAACACCAGUGGCGACGGCGACUUUCUGGUCUGUAACUGACGCUGAUGUGCGAAAGCGUGGGGAUCAAACAGGAUUAGAUACCCUGGUAGUCCACGCCGUAAACGAUGAGUGCUAAGUGUUAGGGGGUUUCCGCCCCCUAGUGCUGCAGCUAACGCAUUAAGCACUCCGCCUGGGGAGUACGACCGCAAGGUUGAAACUCAAAGGAAUUGACGGGGACCCGCACAAGCGGUGGAGCAUGUGGUUUAAUUCGAAGCAACGCGAAGAACCUUACCAAAUCUUGACAUCCUUUGACAACUCUAGAGAUAGAGCCUUCCCCUUCGGGGGACAAAGUGACAGGUGGUGCAUGGUUGUCGUCAGCUCGUGUCGUGAGAUGUUGGGUUAAGUCCCGCAACGAGCGCAACCCUUAAGCUUAGUUGCCAUCAUUAAGUUGGGCACUCUAAGUUGACUGCCGGUGACAAACCGGAGGAAGGUGGGGAUGACGUCAAAUCAUCAUGCCCCUUAUGAUUUGGGCUACACACGUGCUACAAUGGACAAUACAAAGGGCAGCGAAACCGCGAGGUCAAGCAAAUCCCAUAAAGUUGUUCUCUGUUCGGAUUGUAGUCUGCAACUCGACUACAUGAAGCUGGAAUCGCUAGUAAUCGUAGAUCAGCAUGCUACGGUGAAUACGUUCCCGGGUCU